GACGAACGCUGGCGGCGUGCUUAACACAUGCAAGUCGAACGGAAAGGCCCUGCUUUUGUGGGGUGCUCGAGUGGCGAACGGGUGAGUAACACGCGAGUAACAUGCCCUUGACAUUGGGAUAACUUCAGGAAACUGGGGCGAAUACCGGAUAGGAGCUCCUGCUGCAUGGGGGGGGUUGGAAAGUUUCGGCGGUUGGGGAUGUACUCGCAGCUUAUCAGCUUGUUGGUGGGGUAGUGGCUUACCAAGGCUUUGACGGGUAGCCGGCCUGAGAGGGUGACCGGCCACAUUGGGACUGAGAGACGGCGCAGACUCCUACGGGAGGCAGCAGUGGGGAAUAUUGCACAAUGGGGGGAAGCCUGAUGCAGCAACGCCGCGUGCGGGAUGACGGCCUUCGGGUGGUAAACCGCUUUCGCCUGUGACGAAGCGGGAGUGACGGUAAUGGGUAAAGAAGCACCGGCUAACUACGUG
rnacentral:rRNA from 1 species